rnacentral:rRNA from 1 species
UACAGAGGUCUCAAGCGUUGUUCGGAUUCAUUGGGCGUAAAGGGUGCGUAGGCGGCGUGGUAAGUGGGGUGUGAAAUCCCGGAGCUUAACCCCGGGACUGCAUUCCAUACUGCGGUGCUUGAGGACUGGAGAGGAGACUGGAAUUUACGGUGUAGCAGUGAAAUGCGUAGAGAUCGUAAGGAAGACCAGUGGCGAAGGCGGGUCUCUGGACAGUUCCUGACACUGAGGCACGAAGGCCAGGGGAGCAAACGGG